UAGGGAAUCUUCCGCAAUGGGCGAAAGCCUGACGGAGCAACGCCGCGUGAGUGAUGAAGGUCUUCGGAUCGUAAAACUCUGUUAUUAGGGAAGAACAAAUGUGUAAGUAACUAUGCACGUCUUGACGGUACCUAAUCAGAAAGCCACGGCUAACUACGUGCCAGCAGCCGCGGUAAUACGUAGGUGGCAAGCGUUAUCCGGAAUUAUUGGGCGUAAAGCGCGCGUAGGCGGUUUUUUAAGUCUGAUGUGAAAGCCCACGGCUCAACCCUGGAGGGUCAUUGGAAACUGGAGAACUUGAGCGCAGAAGAGGAAAGUGGAAUUCCAUGUGUAGCGGUGAAAUGCGCAGAGAUAUGGAGGAACACCAGUGGCGAAGGCGACUUUCUGGUCUGUAACUGACGCUGAUGUGCGAAAGCGUGGGGAUCAAACAGG
rnacentral:rRNA from 1 species